rnacentral:rRNA from 1 species
CACCACUAAGCCAGUGGUGAACUCCACAUACGCAUCCUUUGCUGAGGAUACGGUUAACGGAGCGAAAGCGACGUUCAACCUCAAAAGAAGCAGAGGGGGCUUAGUGGUGGGGUGACUGCGUACCUUUUGUAUAAUGGGUCAGCGACUUAUAUUCUGUAGCAAGGUUAACCGUAUAGGGGAGCCGGAGGGAAACCGAGUCUUAAUUGGGCGUUAAGUUGCAGGGUAUAGACCCGAAACCCGGUGAUCUAGCCAUGGGCAGGUUGAAGGUUGGGUAACACUAACUGGAGGACCGAACCGACUAAUGUUGAAAAAUUAGCGGAUGACCUGUGGCUGGGGGUGAAAGGCCAAUCAAACCGGGAGAUAGCUGGUUCUCCCCGAAAGCUAUUUAGGUAGCGCCUCGUGAAUUCAUCUCCGGGGGUAGAGCACUGUUUCGGCUAGGGGGCCAUCCCGGCUUACCAACCCGAUGCAAACUGCGAAUACCGGAGAAUGUUAUCACGGGAGACACACGGCGGGUGCUAACGUCCGUCGUGAAGAGGGAAACAACCCAGACCGCCAGCUAAGGUCCCAAAGUCAUGGUUAAGUGGGAAACGAUGUGGGAAGGCCCAGACAGCCAGGAUGUUGGCUUAGAAGCAGCCAUCAUUUAAAGAAAGCGUAAUAGCUCACUGGUCGAGUCGGCCUGCGCGGAAGAUGUAACGGGGCUAAACCAUGCACCGAAGCUGCGGCAGCGAACGUAUCACUUAAAGCGAUUCAGCGGGUUACGAUUGACGGAGCGAAGCGACGUCAAAGCGUAUACAAAGUCGAGUCGGUUUAAGGAUACGUUCGUUGGGUAGGGGAGCGUUCUGUAAGCCUGCGAAGGUGGCCUGUGAGGGUUGCUGGAGGUAUCAGAAGUGCGAAUGCUGACAUAAGUAACGAUAAAGCGGGUGAAAAGCCCGCUCGCCGGAAGACCAAGGGUUCCUGUCCAACGUUAAUCGGGGCAGGGUGAGUCGACCCCUAAGGCGAGGCCGAAAGGCGUAGUCGAUGGGAAACGGGUUAAUAUUCCCGUACUUGGUGUUACUGCGAAGGGGGGACGGAGAAGGCUAUGUUGGCCGGGCGACGGUUGUCCCGGUUUAAGCGUGUAGGUGUGUGUUCCAGGUAAAUCCGGUUCACUUUAACACUGAGGCGUGAUGACGAGGCACUACGGUGCUGAAGCAACAAAUGCCCUGCUUCCAGGAAAAGCCUCUAAGCAUCAGGUAACAUCAAAUCGUACCCCAAACCGACACAGGUGGUCAGGUAGAGAAUACCAAGGCGCUUGAGAGAACUCGGGUGAAGGAACUAGGCAAAAUGGUGCCGUAACUUCGGGAGAAGGCACGCUGACAC